UACGGGGGGGGCAAGCGUUGUUCGGAAUUACUGGGCGUAAAGGGUCUGUAGGUGGCCAACUAAGUCAGACGUGAAAUCCCUCAGCUUAACUGGGGAACUGCGUCUGAUACUGGUUGGCUUGAGUGCAGGAGAGGAAUGCGGAAUUCCAGGUGUAGCGGUGAAAUGCGUAGAUAUCUGGAGGAACACCGGUGGCGAAGGCGGCAUUCUGGACUGCAACUGACACUGAUAGACGAAAGCCAGGGGAGCAAACGGG
rnacentral:rRNA from 1 species